GCGCAGCUUUGCCCCUUCCCCACGUCGCAUUCUCGCGCUCGACCGACUGGCACUCUCUUUCUCUCUCUCUCUCUCUCGCUCUCUCUUGUCCCCGAGUAAGUGACGCCCGACCCCGGGGGACACGUACUCACGGCGCAAUGGCAAACCGGGAUCGCGCGAUUGUGCGACUGAACAGACUAGCAUCACACCCGCCAAAAACUCUCAAGACGUAGAAAACCAAUACUAUUUUAUUCGCCUUCGAUGAGUCAUUUUUAUAUGCAUAUUUUGUUUUAAAUACAUCAUUCUUUCAUUUUGAUUUAUUUUCAUUCUCCAUUUUGUUUCCUAUAUUUCUUACAAUUUAACCUCAACAAUUUUUUAAACCGUUGAAAUUUGCACGUGCGUUCUACUCCAGACGCAGUUGAAUAUACAUGGGACGUAAAUAGCAUUAAUACUCGUCAGGUCAUUCUAGGUCACUGGCUAGUGUAAAAAAAAAGCAACGCACAAUAUAUUAACGGGGUCGUCGAGAAGUAUGGAUUAUUGUCGUUCAUACUCCAUGUUUACCUAUCUAUUGGUUAUGUUUGAAGCAUUUAUUUAUUUUCAACUUUCAAAAUAUAAAAUAAUACUCAUCAAGUGAAUAGAAAUCUUAUAAAUUGGAAUUGCAGUGAAAAAUAAACUUUAAAGAAUAUCACAAGAUUUAUUAAAAUGAUCAUCUAAUAAAAAUUAAUGAAAUGUUUUUUCAUUAAUACGUCAUAAUACGUAAAUUGGUUCGAGAAGUGACAUCACUACGUUCUCUGACAUCACGUUAAAACCACUGGCAACGAACACGAGCUGUGAACGUGAACUUUUAUCUCUCGGUAGAGAGGCAAGUGUAGAAAAAGAAAGGAAAUACUCACAACAAAGAAUAAGAAGAUAAAAUAGCUCCCUCCUAUAUAUUUCACACAUGAUUCAAGUGAUGUCCUUGGCCUACCGGAAGUAAUAUCAAGACUUUUAAAAAUGAUUGAAAGACAUAAGAGUGGAAGAAUCAUUUCUCAAAGAUGAAUGAAAAUGGAUGUAAUAUUGGUGGAAUUCAAGAAGAAGAUAAUAAAAUAAGCA